rnacentral:rRNA from 1 species
UACGUAGGGGGCAAGCGUUGUCCGGAUUUAUUGGGCGUAAAGAGCGUGUAGGCGGCCAAGCAGGUCCGCUGUGAAAACUCGAGGCUCAACUUCCAGACGUCGACGGAAACCGUGUGGCUAGAGUCCGGAAGAGGAGAGUGGAAUUCCUGGUGUAGCGGUGAAAUGCGCAGAUAUCAGGAAGAACACCAAUGGCGAAGGCAGCUCUCUGGGACGGUACUGACGCUGAGACGCGAAAGCGUGGGGAGCGAACAGG